rnacentral:misc_RNA from 1 species
AACGCACAUUGCACCCUCUGGUAUUCCGGGGGGUAUGCCUGUUCGAGCGUCAUUUCAACCCUCAAGCCUAGCUUGGUAUUGGGUGUCAUCUAGUUAGGUGCAUCUUAAAAUUAGUGGUGGUGCCAUCUGGCUUCAAGUGUAGUAAAUUUCUCGCUUUGGAAGCUUAGAAUGUUUUUACCAUUAACAUUAUAUUUUUCAAAUGGUUGACCUCGGAUCAGGUAGGGAUACCCGCUGAACUUAA